rnacentral:rRNA from 1 species
AGGUGACCUGCGGAAGGAUCAUUACCGAGUGCGGGUUCGAACGAGCCCAACCUCCCACCCGUGUUUACUGUUACCGCGUUGCCUCGGCGGGCCCACUGGGGCCUGGCCCCGGUCGCCGGGGGGCUUCUGCCCCCGGGCCCGCUCCCGCCGAAGCACCCUAGAACCCUGCCUGAACAGUGAGUCUGAGUGAGAUUUUAAAUCAUUAAAACUUUCAACAACGGAUCUCUUGGUUCCGGCAUCGAUGAAGAACGCAGCGAAAUGCGAUAAGUAAUGUGAAUUGCAGAAUUCCGUGAAUCAUCGAAUCUUUGAACGCACAUUGCGCCCCCUGGCAUUCCGGGGGGCAUGCCUGUCCGAGCGUCAUUUCUGCCCUCCAGCACGGCUGGGUGUUGGGCGCUGUCCCCCCGGGGACACGCCCCAAAAGCAGUGGCGGCGCCGCGUCGGGUCCUCGAGCGUAUGGGGCUCUGUCACCCGCUCGGGAGGGACUCGGUCGGCGCUGGUCUUCCCUUUAGGCCGCCCUUCGGGGUGCGCCUCUUCCGGUUGACCUCGGAUCAGGUAGGGCUACCCGCUGAACUUAAGCAUAUCAAUAAGCGGAGGAAAAGAAACCAACAGGGAUUGCCUCAGUAACGGCGAGUGAAGCGGCAAGAGCUCAAAUUUGAAAUCUGGCUCCUUCGGGGCCCGAGUUGUAAUUUGGAGAGGAUGCUUCGGGCGUG